rnacentral:rRNA from 1 species
AACGCUGGCGGCAUGCUUUACACAUGCAAGUCGAACGGCAGCGCGGGGGCAACCCUGGCGGCGAGUGGCGAACGGGUGAGUAAUAUAUCGGAACGUACCCAAGAGUGGGGGAUAACGUAGCGAAAGUUACGCUAAUACCGCAUACGAUCUACGGAUGAAAGCAGGGGACCGCAAGGCCUUGUGCUCGUGGAGCGGCCGAUAUCUGAUUAGCUAGUUGGUAGGGUAAAGGCCUACCAAGGCAUCGAUCAGUAGCUGGUCCGAGAGGACGACCAGCCACACUGGGACUGAGACACGGCCAGACUCCUACGGGAGGCAGCAGUGGGGAAUUUUGGACAAUGGGCGCAAGCCUGAUCCAGCAAUGCCGCGUGAGUGAAGAAGGCCUUCGGGUUGUAAAGCUCUUUUGUCAGGGAAGAAACGGGUUUGGCUAAUAUCCAGAUCUAAUGACGGUACCUGAAGAAUAAGCACCGGCUAACUACGUGCCAGCAGCCGCGGUAAUACGUAGGGUGCAAGCGUUAAUCGGAAUUACUGGGCGUAAAGCGUGCGCAGGCGGUUUUGUAAGUCUGUCGUGAAAUCCCCGGGCUCAACCUGGGAAUGGCGAUGGAGACUGCAAGGCUAGAGUUUGGCAGAGGGGGGUAGAAUUCCACGUGUAGCAGUGAAAUGCGUAGAGAUGUGGAGGAACACCGAUGGCGAAGGCGGCCCCCUGGGUCAAGACUGACGCUCAUGC